GUUUCACGGGCUUUCAUCCACUUUGUCUAUUAGCUUGGUAAAUCAAUUAAUUUAUUGAGGCUUAGUUACUGAGAAGAACCUGUGUGACUGAAAGGCAGCUGCAUCACCAAAAGCUCACCAGAGAGGCUGGGGAGAGGAUUCAGUCCAUAAAGUGAUUGCUGCAUAAGCACAGGAGUCUGAGCUCAAUACCGAACAGCCACGUGACAAGCCAAUGCUAGUGGCACAUACUUGUGCUCUCAUUGUUGGUGAAAGGGGGAGAGCAGAUCCUUGGCACUGAGUAGCAAGCUGACUUGACUUAAUUGCUAUGUUCUGUGUAUGUAUGACAGAUUCUGUCUCAAAAAAGAAGGGCCUUCAAAUACCCACAAAGGUGUGUGUGAACCCAAACAUAGAAACAUACACACACACACCUGCACAUACGUCUACAAAGUUUGGUUUUGAAGUUCUACGCCAGCAUGGGUGAUGGCUCACCAAAGCUGUAGCCAUAGAGCUCUCUGAACAAUUUAGAGGUAGCCCGAGGAACCAGAGGCAUUUUGUUAAGUUUUAUAUGCCCUACGAGUCUACCUUCUCACUCUAGGAAGGGAUUAGCAGUGACUGGCUUUAUGGAGAACCAUACUUUGAGCUGUUGGAAGGGACAAAAGUCCUUAAAGAAAACGGUGUGCAGUAAUGAGUCACAGGGUAGGUUGUAGCUGGACUGGAACUAAAAUCCUUGCCCUGCCUUGGCUAGAGCUGCUUCACUCCAGUCCGUUUCUAUCUUCAAGAGGCCUCCUUCAUUAUAUACCUUCCUCCUCUUCUUUGAGGUAGGGUUUCAGCGUGUAGCCCUGGCUGGCCUAGGACUUGACACGUACACCAAGUUGUACUUGAAAUUGCUGUGCAUACCAGGCUGCCUUGUGCCUCUAGUAGAACGUCUGCUGACUCCCAGUUCCUGGGAGUAGAGAGGUUCUGGAGAGGACCUGUAGUCAGUUCCCAGCAUCCACACAAUAACUCCCAGAUGCCUCUAAGUCCAGUUUUAGGGGAUCCGAUACCCUCUUCUGAUCUGCAAGGAUUCUCGCACACUCGUUGUUGAUUUUGUGUGUGUGUGUGUAUCAUAUUAAUAACAUAUAUUAAAUAAAUGAAAAAUAUAUUUAUAUAUAUUUUUUGACUACGUAGGUGCAUUAUAUCACUCUUUGCCUUUGCUGAGGAAAGGUUUCCUCUUUCAAAUUAGCUGCCCCUAAGCCAUCAUCCAGCUCACACACAAGUCUUGAAUCUCCUUAUGAGCAGCAGUAAUUAGAUGGACCAGAAUGUGACAAGGGGAGCGGAGCAAUAAAACAGGCGAAGUAAUGUCGCAUUAUUUCCAGACUGGUAUCUCAGGGAAAACUGCUUAAUGGGCUGCUUGUUCUGUAAGUUGGGUUAGCAUUCAAGUGUGUGUUUCUGGGGUAGUGCUUUGGGCCCAGGGCUAGAGAGAGAACUGUCCAUUUCUACUGGUUUAUGGUACUGUUAGUGUCGGUCAAGAGGAUAAGAUCUCCGGUCUCAGUGGAGACUGGUUCGAUCCCUUUGGUAAGGGAUCACCAUAGAAAGGUUGGCUCACCAGCUAAAACCUUACUGAAAAGAUAGAAUGGUUUUUAAAAUGAGACACUGUACUUUUCUUUCCCACGAUCCCCACCACCAUUGUUCAGAGGCUUACCGACCAGUCAUGUAAAAGGUCCUAAGUAUACCCUAUGACCAAGUCAGAAAAGCAUACAUAUUUUUCACAUUUUCUAUCUCUUUUCUAAGUGUUCUUUCCUUAGUACUGGGGUCUUUAUCCCCAGCAUUUUGGGCCUCCCUACUCUUUCCUUAAAACCUGUAACCCCACAUGUGGCUGCUUGCUGACCAUGAGCCUAACCUCCAUGGCAGCUUAAACAGCACGCCUUGGCCCUUCUCCUUUCUCGUCCUCUGGGAGCUGCUAGGGCUUUACAGCUUGCCAGUCCUGGGGUUCUUCUUCUGAACUCUAAUAAAUCAUCCUUGUGGUUCUUCGUGAGUCUGUUUUUAAGUCCUGUUGUCAGUAUGAUUCAGAAUCCCAGAGGGGACCUUAAUCUCCCCUGUGUCACUGUGGGAGGAAGAUUAUAAGAGUUGAACUUGAUAAUACUGAAUCCCAUGUUCAGGACUUGGAAGUAAUAUGUAAAGGACUCUGAAAAGAAGCAAGAGUUGGCUACUGGGCUCUAAGCUUUUGGCUCAGAAAGCUUUUCGGUGCAUUUGUAAGCUUGGCACUAGAAGUAAUCGCCAGGUUGUGGACAGGGUCCACAUGACCUUGUAGCUUUGGGCAGGUUAAGUAUGGUACACUGGGUGGUUCCAUUUAAGUGGGGCUCACAGUGCUGUUUGGAGGGGUGUAUGGGAAGAUUUGGAGGGAGGGAAGGGAGAAGUGUUGUAGUCAUAAUCUCAAAAAUAAAGGGCCUUUUGCACACACCAAGUAAGUGUGCUAUCACCAAGCCAUUUCCCUAGUCUAAUAACGUUUCCUGUAUUCAUUUACCUAGAUAAAGCUUGAGUUUUUUUCCCCAUACCUUGGCUACUGUGAAUAGUUGUGCACUGAGCAUGAGCGUGCAGAUGACUCUGAUUUACCAACCUCAGUUCCCAAGCUUCAUAUAACUGGAUUAUAGGAUAAUUCUAUGCUUACUUUUCAGGAGUGUCCAUACCAUUUUCCAUAGGCUAGGACUAAAGCUAGCUUCAUUGCACUUGCAAUUUUGUUUCCUCAAAGAUUAGACUUGUCAUACAUUAUCUUUUAAUUCAUCGGUUGACCAUAAACAUCAUUUCUUUGUGGAAAAUGUCACUUAAUUGCAUGGGUCAUUCUUUAGCUGUGGUGAAGCAUUUUGGUUGGAUGCAUGUUAGUCUCCUUGUUUUGUGGUGCUGGGAAUUGAACCCAGGGCUUUCCACUUGUGGAGUAAGCCCUUGCCUUGUAAGCUCCGCCUCACUGCUGCAGUUUGCUUUUUUGCCUAUGCUUUGGGAAUGCUCUUCAGGAAACCAUAAGCCAGACCAAUGCCCGCUACUUCUUUUAGUAGCUCUUCAGGAUUGGGUAUUGCAUUUAAUAAAGUGCAAAUUAAUUAUGAUUCAGUUACUGUAUUGGAAUAAAGGUCUAAUUUCAUUCUUUUGUGUUUUCCCACCAGUGAUUCCUGAAGACACUAUCCUUAACCCUUUGUGCAUUUUCAACUCUCCGUAAAAGUUACGAUCGACUUUAUUUCUGGGUUGUGUAUUUUACACUACUAUUAUUUUGCUUUUAUUUUUGGCAGCUUUGUAGCAUUCAGGUCGAGUACCGCAUAUACGGAUUCUAGAUCAUUUUGUAUUUCUGACUUUUAUAUUAUCGCCAACUUGUGGUUUGUGCCUGUCACUGACCAAUGUUGGCCUUGUCACUUUCCACACUGGCCACAUAGGGCUUUCACUUACUCUGAACUGGGUCCUAGGAUUUGUGAUGUGUGAUUUUAUUUUAUUUGUUCUGUUCCUCGAGUGCUUGUUUAAAAUCUGGACUCAGACUUGAAAGCUAGCUUAGUCAUUAAGAUUUUGGUUCCCAGCAUCCAUGGUGGGCUACUAGCUCUACCUUCUAGGGAACUGACAUUCACUUCUGGUUUCCAAGAGCACCUGUACUUUUGGCCACAAAUACAUACAUAUGUGUAAUUUUUAAAAAUUAAAAAUAAAUAAAAAUUAAAAUCUAGACUCUCCAUUUGAGACAAAGUGUGUGAUAUUCAGCUUUCUGAAUUAAUCCUUCUCCACAACUGCUUCUUCUGUGGGGUUCCAGAAAUGACCCAGCAGUAAAGAUCACUGACUGCUUUUCCACAGGACAUGGGUUUGUUUGAUCCCUAACAUCCACAUGACAGACCACAGUCAUCUGUAACUCCAGUUGUAGAGGAGUUGACACACCCUCUUCUGGCCUCUAAAGGCACUGAAUGCAUGCCAUGCAGAAACAUACAUGGUGCCACAAAACAUACACACACACACACACAGACACACACACACACACACACACACACACACACACACACACACACAAAGAAAUUUCAGUCGUUUCCUUUAGAUUACCCACUUUGUUUUUUUAAAAGUGCUUUGCUCUGCUUGGCUUUCCCUUUGUUCUGCUUUCUAGCUUUCUGAGGUGUAACAUGAGGGCUGAUGUAAUGCAGGCUUCCGGUCAGGACUGCUUUCCCUUUGAAUAUACUGUGAUCCCAUUUGCCCUUGUCUCUGGAUCCUGUUUGGUUUCCAUCUAGUUGGUUUUCUUUGACUUAUGGAUUGUCGAGAAGAGUGCUGUUUAAUUUCUACAUAUUUGUGAGCUCUCUCUCUCACCAUUCAGUUUUAGUUUCUUGCUGUUGUAGUCAGAAAAGAGACUUGAUAUGAUCCCACUCUUCCAUAAUCACUGCUGGAAUGUACUUUGUGUAUUAGCACAUGAUCUGUGAUGUUCCUAUGUGUGCAUUUGCAAAGAACACUUGUAAAACCCACUGUUUCUCCCCAUGCUUAGGUCAUCCAUUUGAUGAUGGAAGUUUCCUAUUACUGUGUUACAUUCUAUGUUCAUAUCUAUUAAUGAUUGCCAUAUAUGUUUGGGUGCCUGACAAUGGGGACACCCGCACACAUACACACACACACACACACACACACACACACACACACACACACACAUAUCUCAAAUGUGUUUGACUUGUUGGCCUUUUUCAUUAUGUAAUGAUCUGUUUCUUUCUAUCACAAUGGAGUGUUUGACUUCUGCUCUAUUUUUUCCUGGCGGAAGUGUAGCGACUUUGGAUUUUUGUUUUCCGUUUGCAUUCACAUCCCCUUAUUUUUUUAAAUGACAAACACCAUGUCAAGAGUAUAUUUUAGCAUCAGCCUUAGUGGUGAACUCUUUCCUAGUAUGUUCUAGGUCCUAGGUUCAGUUCUCAGAACCACAAAUUAUAAUGGUAAGGACAAAGAAAAUAUUACAAUCUUUCCUUCAUUUUAAAAACUACCUAAACUUAAAAUUGUCUUCUUCUUUGCAGGAUAUGGAGACUUCAAUGAUUUUAAUCUAGAGGAUGCGCUGAAAGAAACUUCCUGAGUAAAGCGUGACUCAAACAAACGAGUCCACCAAGCAAACACAAGUGUUCGGCCAUGCACCACACUCACAAUCUUGCCUUCAGAAAAGUACAUGCAUAUGAGACUAGCUGCACCUCCAUCUACCUGUUAGUUCUGUUGUGCAAGGCUUGUGUCGUCUCGUCAUACGUGUGUCAUCUUCCUUUUUCAUUUAGUCUAUGUCGAAACCACAAGAGAACGUGCAUCUGCCUUCACCUUUUUUCUGCUGUACAAAAAGAGAACUCCUACCCGUUUCAUUCCUCUCACUGUUUUGUUUUGAGACAGGGUCUCUUGAUUUAGCCCGAGUUGUCCUGAAAUUCUCUGUGCUGACAAGGCCGGCUUUGACUUGGAUCCAGUGCUAGAACAACAGUGACUCUUGUCCACUGAUGCAUUUCUAGCUUCAGAACCCAUGACUUUUUAUGAUUCUUCAGCGUGAUCCCCACAAUGGCCUCGGGGACCGAUACCGAGACCAUUCUCACGAUGUGACUUCUGUAAACCAUAAAGCAGCCAAUGUGUUUUACAAUCUGCUUCCUUUCAUCCUCCCACCUCCCUUCAGAGAGCCACUUUAGCACCACGACUAGGAGGACAGGAACUACCAAAGCCCCAUCAAAUCCAGCAGAGAUGGGACCACAUCACCACUACUACAGUGAGAGGGCCAGGAACAACUAGAGCACCGUCAAAUCCUAUGGAACUUGAUGGGUUUGACUUGGAAGACUCCUUGGAUGAUCGGAAUGAUCUAGAUGGCCCCAAAAAGCCAAGUACAGGAGAAGGAGGAGGUUGGUCAGACAAGGAUCUUGAAGAUAUCUUGGGAGACGGGGAAUAGAAACCUGACAAGAAUAAAGUGGAUGGACUGCCAGACCGAAGGCUUCAUGAAAGAACUGUGCUGCUGUGAACGUCUGUAUAUGGGCGUAUAGAAGAUUUCACACAGGCAUAGUUUUUAACUGUCUUGAGUACUUGUGGGCAUUGGCAUCCGCUCAGCAUCUGCUAGGGCCUCUGUGCUGGGUCCAGACAUGGCUCCGUUUCACUUGUGGGUGCCCCUUUAAUACCCGAACAAUAUAUUAUAUAUUGUUUCUUUACUAAUCUCACUGCACUUGCCCAAAAUUCUCCUCCUGAGACUUAACCAGAGAACAGAGUCUCUGCUGGGCUUUUCUGAGACUUCCUUUGUCGGUGCAAUGAAUCUGAGUCUUCACCUUAGCCUCAGGUAGACUCUUCAGACAGGGGCAAAAAGCAGCCACAUUCUUCACCAAAACACCACAAAAACAAUCUCCAGGCCACACACUGAAAUAUUCUCCCUGAAGCCUCCUGGGCCAGGUCUAUGCAGUUAAAAUCACUCACAGCCACAAAGUCUUCCUGCCAGGAUAGCUCAUUGGGCCCCACUCAAACCAUUUCUUGGCUUUCCAAAUCCAAAGUCACAAAAUUCACGUUCUUCCAAAUAAAGUAUGGUGAGGCCUAUCAGUAAUACCCAGGCCUUGGUAUCAACUUCUGACUUACUUAGGGUUUUACUGCUGCGGACAGACAGUGUGACCGAGGCAGCUCUCACAAGGACAACAUGUGACUGGGGCUGGCUUACAGGGUCAGAAGUUCAUUCCGUCAACAUCAUGGCAGGAGCAGGGCAGCGUCCAGGCACGAUGGUGCAGGAGGAGGUGAGAGUUCUCCAUCCUCAUCUAAAGGCUGCUAGCAGAGCACUGAGAGACUUACAACCCACACCCACAGGGCUAUGCCCACUCCAGCAGGGCCAAACCCUCUCCAGCAGGGCCAAACCCACUCCAGCCAGGGUCACACUUACUCCAGCAAGGCCACAACCACACCCACUCCAGCAGGGCCACAACCACCCCCACUUAUUUCUGGCUCUUAUUUCCUUUAAGUAUGAUAUCUGGGACCUUUUGGUGGGACACCAUCUAGCUCCUUCCCUCUAUGUCUAUUGUCUGACCUUGGUGCUCCAAGCUGUCCUUGUAUGUCAGUUUAUGGCUGGGUUUUGCUUCUAGUUGCUUGAAUGUUUUGUGUUUCAUGUUUAAAAGAAAAACAUGGUUAAAACUUUAAAUGCUGGUUGAUUCCUCCCUUUAUUAGUUUUAAGUCCUUUCAGGAAAGGAACAAAUAAAUAAAAAGCAGUUUAAAUUGACCUUUGGAGAUCUGCAUCAUAGAUAACUGGUUAUCUCUGGUGUCACAGUCAUGCAUGUCUCUGACUGGAUCUGGCAUCAAUGGAGGAAUGUAGCUAGGAGCCUAGGUCUGUCCACUGGGGAAGCUCCCCAGGAGGCUGGCUAAAUGUUUACACUAGCUGAUCUUAAAUGUGCCAGCAGCCUCAAAGCUCCUAUGGUAAUGGAGCUGUUAGCUGUUUCUCUUAGAGAAAUCUUUAACUGUGAUUAUUGGAUUCAACAGGUAACAAGGUGCUUCUUUUAAAAUGACAGCCAGAAAAAGUAAAAAUGGUAUUUGAUCUAAAUACUAAAGAUAUGUGUUGUCACUUCAUUUUUUUUCUGUUUGGUUUUAAAUGUACAAUGCGCUCUACAUGUCUUGGCUAUAGGUGACUGGCUUUUAAGUUAUUGGGUAUGGUUAAAAGUUUGUAACAUUGGUAACAGAAAGUGGCUUAAAACUGGAGUCAUUCUAGACAACACGUGGCAUGAGCCAACAUAGGGAAACAGGUCUAGAUUGGGAUCAUAUUUUAAUAUAACUCUUAUCAUGGAAA
rnacentral:lncRNA from 1 species